AGAGUUUGAUCCUGGCUCAGGACGAACGCUGGCGGCGGGCCUAACACAUGCAAGUCGUGGGAGAAUCAGGGUGCUUGCACCCUGAGGAGACCGGCGGAUGGGUGAGUAACGCGUAGGCAACCUGCCCGGUAGAUGGGGAUAACAUCGAGAAAUCGGUGCUAAUACCCGAUGAUGCAGCGGCCCCGCAUGGGGACAGUUGUUAAACCCCGACUUAGUCGGGGGCUACCGGAGGGACCUGCGUGCCAUUAGCUAGUUGGUAGGGUAAUAGCCUACCAAGGCAAUGAUGGCUAGGGGGUCUGAGAGGAUGAUCCCCCACACUGGGACUGAGACACGGCCCAGACUCCUACGGGAGGCAGCAGUGAGGAAUCUUGCGCAAUGGAGGAAACUCUGACGCAGCCACGCCGCGUGCCGGAAGACGGCCCUAUGGGUUGUAAACGGCUUUUACCAGGGAAGAACCCGGGUCUUUCGAGACCCGCUGACGGUACCUGGUGAAUAAGCACCGGCUAACUCCGUGCCAGCAGCCGCGGUAAUACGGAGGGUGCAAGCGUUGUCCGGAAUUAUUGGGUGUAAAGGGUGCGCAGGCGGAAGCCUAAGUCGGAGGUGAAAUCUUACCGCUUAACGGUAAAAGUGCCUCUGAUACUGGGUUUCUUGAGUCCGGAAGAGGUUGGUGGAAUUCGUGGUGUAGCGGUGAAAUGCAUAGAGAUCACGAAGAACACCGGUGGCGAAGGCGGCCAACUGGUCCGGUACUGACGCUGAGGCACGAGAGCGUGGGGAGCGAACAGGAUUAGAUACCCUGGUAGUCCACGCUGUAAACGAUGUAUGCUAGUUGUUGGCCCUUUGGGGCCAGUGACGCAGUUAACGCGCUAAGCA
rnacentral:rRNA from 1 species